UGCUUAACACAUGCAAGUCGAACGAUGAAGCCCUUCGGGGUGGAUUAGUGGCGAACGGGUGAGUAACACGUGGGCAAUCUGCCCUUCACUCUGGGACAAGCCCUGGAAACGGGGUCUAAUACCGGAUAAUACUCCUGCCUGCAUGGGUGGGGGUUAAAAGCUCCGGCGGUGAAGGAUGAGCCCGCGGCCUAUCAGCUUGUUGGUGGGGUAAUGGCCCACCAAGGCGACGACGGGUAGCCGGCCUGAGAGGGCGACCGGCCACACUGGGACUGAGACACGGCCCAGACUCCUACGGGAGGCAGCAGUGGGGAAUAUUGCACAAUGGGCGAAAGCCUGAUGCAGCGACGCCGCGUGAGGGAUGACGGCCUUCGGGUUGUAAACCUCUUUCAGCAGGGAAGAAGCGAAAGUGACGGUACCUGCAGAAGAAGCGCCGGCUAACUACGUGCCAGCAGCCGCGGUAAUACGUAGGGCGCAAGCGUUGUCCGGAAUUAUUGGGCGUAAAGAGCUCGUAGGCGGCUUGUCACGUCGGAUGUGAAAGCCCGAGGCUUAACCUCGGGUCUGCAUUCGAUACGGGCUAGCUAGAGUGUGGUAGGGGAGAUCGGAAUUCCUGGUGUAGCGGUGAAAUGCGCAGAUAUCAGGAGGAACACCGGUGGCGAAGGCGGAUCUCUGGGCCAUUACUGACGCUGAGGAGCGAAAGCGUGGGGAGCGAACAGGAUUAGAUACCCUGGUAGUCCACGCCGUAAACGUUGGGAACUAGGUGUUGGCGACAUUCCACGUCGUCGGUGCCGCAGCUAACGCAUUAAGUUCCCCGCCUGGGGAGUACGGCCGC
rnacentral:rRNA from 1 species